UACGUAGGGUGCGAGCGUUAAUCGGAAUUACUGGGCGUAAAGCGUGCGCAGGCGGUUCGUUAAGUCAGAUGUGAAAGCCCCGGGCUCAACCUGGGAAUGGCGAUGAAGACUGCAAGGCUUGAAUCUGGCAGAGGGGGGUAGAAUUCCACGGUGUAGCAGUGAAAUGCGUAGAGAUGUGGAGGAACACCGAUGGCGAAGGCAGCCCCUGGGUCAAGAUUGACGCUCGAUGCACGAAAGGCGUGGGGAGCAAACAGG
rnacentral:rRNA from 1 species